rnacentral:rRNA from 1 species
UACGUAGGGUGCAAGCGUUGUCCGGAAUUAUUGGGCGUAAAGAGCUCGUAGGCGGUCUGUCGCGUCGGCUGUGAAAACCCGAGGCUCAACCUCGGGCCUGCAGUCGAUACGGGCAAACUAGAGUAUUGCAGGGGAGACUGGAAUUCCUGGUGUAGCGGUGAAAUGCGCAGAUAUCAGGAGGAACACCGGUGGCGAAGGCGGGUCUCUGGGCAGUAACUGACGCUGAGGAGCGAAAGCGUGGGGAGCGAACAGG